rnacentral:rRNA from 1 species
GAUGAACGCUGGCGGCGUGCUUAACACAUGCAAGUCGAACGUGAAGCCCGAUGCUUGCAUUGGGUGGAAAGUGGCGGACGGGUGCGUAACACGUUGGUGACCUACCUCGAGGAGGGGAAUAACCCUGGGAAACCAGGGCUAAUACCCCGGAUGUCAGGGAAAUUAGACACCCUUGACUAAAGCUUCGGCGCCUUGAGAUGGGCCUGCGGGCUAUCAGCUUGUUGGUGGGGUAAUGGCUUACCAAGGCUAAGACGGCUAGGGGGCGUGAGAGCGCGACCCCCCACAAUGGAACUGAGACACGGUCCAUACUCCUACGGGAGGCAGCAGUGAGGAAUAUUGCGCAAUGGGGGCAACCCUGACGCAGCAACGCCGCGUGGACGAAGAAGGCCCUCGGGUUGUAAAGUCCUUUUCUGAGGGGCGAUAAUGACGGUACCUCAGGAAUAAGUCCCGGCUAACUACGUG